CUGGGCGUAAGCGCGCGUAGGUGGUUUGGUAAGACAGAUGUGAAAUGCCCCGGGCUCAACCUGGGAACUGCCUUUGUAACUGUCAGACUAGAGUGUGGGAGAGGGGAGUGGAAUUCCCUGUGUAGCGGUGAAAUGCGUAGAUAUGCGAAGGAACACCAAUGGCGAAGGCGAUCCCCUGGACCAGCACUGACGCUGAUGUGCGAAAGCGUGGGGAGCAAACAGGAUUAGAUACCCUGGUAGUCCACGCCGUAAACGAUGUCAACUAGCUGUUGGGACUUUUGAAGUCUUAGUGGCGCAGCUAACGCACUAAGUUAACCGCCGGGGAAGUACGGCCGCAAGGUUAAAACUCAAAGGAAUUGACGGG
rnacentral:rRNA from 1 species